rnacentral:sRNA from 1 species
AGGAAAUCGCAGCCUUCAGAGGGACCUGACACAAGGGAGCUGGAUAGCACCAGGGGGUCAAGGGCUCCUGCAGGAAAGAAAACCACGGCAGAUUUUUGCUGUGUCCGUAGUGUGCACACAGCCAUCCGGACUGCUAGAGAACACCCCAGAGCUUCGGGGGAUGCGCAGUGCUCAUCCACAAGGUUGCCCAUCCCUGGUCUGCAAAUAGACCAAGAAAUGUAACUAAACUGAGUCAGAUUGGUUAAAUAACUGUUUCAUGCAUAAUUCAUGACCGGUCCCAUUUAAUCUAACAACCUAGAGGGCAAAUGUGCCCCGUGUGUUGGAGAGCUGGCAUAUGGUGAUGAUGCCUCCCGAGAAGGGCACCUUAUGAAAUCUCCUUGGCAGAUUCCUUUCAGUGCAUCUCAUCGGAGAAUGAGCCACAAAGCUUGACCCUGCUGAGGAUGGGGUAGGAGGCAUCAAUUUCUUCUCCAUCUGUCUUGGCUGCUUUUGCUCUGCCUCGGACUUGGCCUGUAAUAGGAAUGUAGCCACCCCCACCCCACAAAGACCAUGGAGUCUUGAUGUCAGCCUCUCCUCAGCUCGUUCUGCUCAGGGUUCAUUAAGGUCUCCCGAGUUAUGAAAGGACAUCUGGGCACAGGCAACUAAAUGACAGAGCUGGAGGUCACAGGCUAAAGGGGUGGGCAUCGAUUGUUCUGCUGCUGAUGUUUCUAAUUCUCACUAACUUUCAGCGAGAGAUAUAUGUGCGGCGUGUGAUGAAGAAGUAUUUAUUAACUGAGUCUCUCCUGGCAUGGAGGACUGCCGUUUGUCAGCAAAGAGCCAUGUUCCCAGAGCAUGUGGUGAUAGAGGUUACAGCGUUUUAAACCGAGAAUGGGGGUUAGAGAUCCUUCAGGUGCUUCUCUGACUGUACAGAAGAGGAACCAGGUCCUGGGAGGCUAGUCUCUUAUUCCAGGAAGGUCGUUUAGUUAGUGUCAGAGAGGGUGUAACCAGUAGUUUCUCUUUCCAACUGCCCCUCCUAAUACCUCAAGAGCCAGAAUGUGUGCCAAGUCUGUGCUGACUUGGACGUGUGUGGAAUUUGAGGCACAUUUAGUGGCCAGAAGCUAUGGGCAGGCUAUCUUUUAAAAAUGCAAAUUGCUAUCUACUAAAUAAAAUGAGUGUGUGUUUUCAGAAGUUAGUUCAGCUGGAGCUAAUAGGCAGUAGUGUUAAUUAGUCUAAGGGCAUAGGUCCAAUUUCCACAAGGGCCAAUUAGCUUUGCACAAUGGGCAAAGAGGCUGUUUCCUAGACUUGGACCGUGUCCUGAACUCAGGCGGCCCUGUCCCUGAGGACAGCAGGUACGAGGGAAUGACACAGCACAAACCCUUUCCUUGCUGGAAAAACAGCCUCAGGGCAUUUCUCAGUGGAAUCGCCUGGGGUGUUCAGGUGUUCCACGGCAGAUGUUCUGUGGAAAGUUUGAGUUGAUUGGAAAGACGGGGAGAGUUUUGUUGUGGCACACUUUCAUACCUGUUUUCUUCACCUCAACAGAGACCAUUUUACUCUAGUGUUCCAGAUUAGAACCAAAGAUCGAGAGAGGAAGACUUACCUCUUUGCCCAAGGUCAGACAUUAAGAAAGAACUGUUUUAAGAUCUGCAACUAGGCUUUGGAACUUUCAACUAAACUAGACGACAAAGUUUCCUGAAAGCAGGAGAGUCUGGCUUUUACUGACCCGGAGGAAACAAAAGUGCUGUGAGAUGCCUCUAUGUGCUGUCCGUUGCUCAGGUAGAAAACCGGACUGUUGUCCUAUGAAAAGAAAAGAGGUGUAGUGACCAAGCUGCUGCAGUUCUCUCUAACAACGUGUAAAAAGGACAGAAAUGAGAGGUUACAGCAGUCCUGCCCUCAGAGGCCAUAUUCCUGUUUCACUAGUCAAAACUGAGACCCAUUGAUGGGGGAAAGGAAAUGUGGCCACAGAAGAGAGAAGAACCUUGAGGAUACACGAACUGAAGCAUCAGACACCCUUACCCUGAUCACCCUUUUUAACCAACAAUUGUGUGUCAUUGGGCAUCAGUGACCCGAUUGUGGUGAUAAACCUUCACAGAACUAGCUGAGAAGUUGAGGACAUCAGGCAUAAAGCAGCCACAGUCAUGAAGCAAAGCCAGAAACAACCAAAUGGUAACUUCAGCCCUCUAAUAGAUGGGCAGCCAAUACACUAUCUAAAACAACAAACAAAACAAAAUGACAACAACCACAAAACCCCCAAACCUGGGCCUGUCUCUGUAGCCCUAGCUAGUCUGUUACUUGCGUGUAAACCACACUGGCCUUGACAUCACAGGGGUGCUGGGAUUAAAGGUGUAUGCCACA